GGAGAGGAAGGGCGGAGCUGGAGAAAACACGAGGCUGACACAACUUGGUCAGAGAUUAAGUUAUGCUAAUGGCACAAUGGCAAACAGGACAGAAGAACGGCAGGUCUCCACAGAAGUCGUCAUGAAGCCAUCAGUGAGGAGGUGAGGAGGAUAUUUCAGGCACCAUCCUCCUGCAUCCAAACGAGGACACAGUUACCCACUGCAGGAGGUGAGGAUGGAUGCAUUGACGAAGAACCGUGUUACUACACUCCUCGCUCGCUUUCAGGAAGGAAAUCUUCCAUGCCAGGAGCAGAAAGGAGGGGUGACACAAAGAUGGAGUGUGACUUCCUGCGUUCCAGAGAGCACGCCGGGUGCUGGGGCUGAGGCUGGCUUCGUGUCACAGGGGUAUGCUCCAUAACUCACAACACAAAUGUUCGUGGAGGAAGUGUCUCAGAGAGUGUUUCUGUCCCCUUGUUCUUCGUUGAGCAGAUAUUUCAUCUGCUCUCAGGAGGGAAGCAGAGCCCAAUGGAGAGCCUAACAGAACGCAGCAUGGAUAAUCCUGAGCUGUGCCCCGAGUCCUUGCUUGUUGGAGCGCAGACUGAGUUUGUGACUGCUCAGUUUAUUUCACUCUGUGCUGCUGUCUCGUUCUGAGGUAGAUCCAAAAUGUCACCGAUCCAAAUGAUGGAACGUCUCAUGGCAAUGGCUUCUUCUGGAGGGCAUUUGGCAGCUCUAUCACAGCCAUGGGAGGGCUGAUGUGCAGCUGCCACGUUGCUCAGAAGUCACACUGGAGGACUUGAAGGUGUGCAUGCAUGUGACUUCAAUUCCUUUGAUUUCAGCUCCGUGGUUGUGAAAUAACUUUCAGUGGGGAUUUCACGUCAGCUAAGUUUAGCUCUUGGCUGUUGAGAGGAAGAGGGACAACGCUGAUGGCUCUGCAAAUGAGCUCUGGGUUGAGUAGGGAAGGAAAAUGGACCUGGCACCUGAACUGACCUCCCCCAGCGCAGUCCUCAGGUCCUCACCUGAGAUGCUGAAAUCUGUAUUGAUAUUGUCAUCUAUAUCUCAACAUAUGUAACUUUUCCAUGCUUGCAGAGAAACAAAUGGAGUUUUUUUUCGUCAUCUGCAUUCCAGCAAUCAUCGGAGAGCCCCUGGCUCCCAGAAGCUCUCCCUGGUAUUUGGAGCAAUUAAAUGCACAGAAUGCCCAUAGCUUUGUAACAGAGGGGAAUCAUUAUGGGGAAUCAUUAUUGCAUUGGUGUGAUUUUGCUAGUGCUGCAACCCAUUCUUUGCAGCCUAAAGCACGGGGCACAGGCAGCCCAAUGGGAAAGGUAGGGAAACAGUGGAAGGAAAGCAUGUGCAGGAGCUUUCUGCAUUUGGGAUGUAUCACACGUAGUGGUGGAGCUGUGCUAAUCAAGAUCUGGAGAAUCUGGUUCCCCAUCUGAAGUGAGCAUCCCUUUUGUAUUAGUCCCUGAAGUUAUUUUAACUCGCGUUGACACAAAUUAAACAGGAAUCUUGCUGUCCAUUGAUUUUGUCAGCGGUGUGUUUUUUUUUCCCCCCUCCUGAAGUCAUCAUUAAAGACUUUGCUUUUAUUAAA